AUUGAACGCUGGCGGCAUGCUUUACACAUGCGAGUCGAACGGUAACAGGUUAAGCUGACGAGUGGCGAACGGGUGAGUAAUGCAUCGGAACGUGCCCGAUCGUGGGGGAUAACGCAGCGAAAGCUGCGCUAAUACCGCAUACGAUCUGAGGAUGAAAGCGGGGGACCGUAAGGCCUCGCGCGAUCGGAGCGGCCGAUGUCAGAUUAGGUAGUGGGUGGGGUAAAGGCCCACCAAGCCGACGAUCUGUAGCUGGUCUGAGAGGACGACCAGCCACACUGGGACUGAGACACGGCCCAGACUCCUACGGGAGGCAGCAGUGGGGAAUUUUGGACAAUGGGCGAAAGCCUGAUCCAGCAAUGCCGCGUGCAGGAAGAAGGCCUUCGGGUUGUAAACUGCUUUUGUACGGAGCGAAAAGGUCCUUUCUAAUACAAGGGGCUCAUGACGGUACCGUAAGAAUAAGCACCGGCUAACUACGUGCCAGCCGCCGCAAUAC
rnacentral:rRNA from 1 species